ensembl:lncRNA LINC01858 long intergenic non-protein coding RNA 1858
GUGACUCUUUAGCACCAGCACAGCCUACAGAUAGGAUUGUGCCACACUGCUGGACCCAGCACCUAGGUGACGUAACUCUAUUCUCCUGCUUUGGUGCUACCCAAAAAGGACAUUGUAACAUAUCUCAGAGCCUUGCUCCCAGGUGAUGCUACUCUCUACUUAUGGCUGGGCCUUGACAAAAAGAGGGAUUGGGACAUAUCCCUGGACGCUGAACCUAAGAGGUGGAGGUUGCCGUGGUGACAGAGUGAGACUUCGCCAAAACAAAACAAAAAAAACAACAACAAAAAGUUGGAUUGUGACAUACACUUUAGCACAGCUCAUGGUUGUGAUGAUGACACUUACGCCACAAAACAGCCAAUAGGAGAGAUACUGCCACUUGUAGCUAGACUUACAGAAAUGAAUAAACUCCUGAGUCUUCUGUAGUAA